AACUGGGCAGAGCCGAGUUUGGCCGGAAAUCGGCCUUGAUUUUUCUUUUCCUCAUAUCUUCCUCCUCCGGCCACCAAUCUUCACCAAACUUCUUCCAUUAGCUUCGUAUGGUCCUUACGCACCUGUCUGUGGCAGCCUUACACGGUGGCGCGGCCUGUAUGGGCGGCGGCAAGCUUAAACCGAUUUUAGCUCGAUUUUGAGUCAACGCCGAUAUCUCGAGUUAUAGACGAUCAAUCUUCGAGAUUCUUGGACAGAUGAACUCGAAUUGAAGUUCUGAAACAGUUUCAUGAAGAAAUCGAAGCGAUUGGUGGACGUUUUCACGUUGAUAGGAGCUGUUGCCGGUUUCUGGAAAAAAUCCGGCGAACCCGUGGCUUCUAGGUGAUUGACGGUCUUCCUUGGUGAGCGGUUUUGGUGUGUUUUGUGAAAUUGAAGACGCAGCGGGAUUAGAGCGGGUAGUCCUGCAGGUCAGGAGGAUCAUGGCUGAGAUCGUGCGGAUUAGAGUAAUUGUUUUAGUUUUUCAGCCUUGUAAAUUGUGAGGUGAGUGAUGCUCAAUUGGAGCUUUACAAAUUUACUUUGUAUAAGUGAGUUGUAUUAAUUAAUUUGAGAUUUGAAAUUUGAGUGGCGUGUAUUGUAGUUGUUAUUCAUGUUUCGGAUUUUGAAUUAGUUAUUCAAAAUUCGGGGCGUGACAACUUACCACCAAGAAAUUUGAUGGUAGGAGAAGCAUGCAUGAGCAUGUUCUUGAAAUGACUAAUUUGGCAGCAAAAUUGAAGGCCUUGGGAAUGAAUGUGGAUGAGUUCUUUCUUGUUCAAUUUAUUUUGAACUCCUUGCAUCCUCAGUAUGAAGCAUUUCAGAUUAACUAUAACACUAUUAAGGAUAAGUGGAAUGUUAAUGAAUUGUCCUGUAUGCUUGUUCAAGAGGAAGGAAGGCUUAAGCAACAAGAACAAAAUUCCAUUCAUCUUGUAGGUCAUGGAGCUGAAAGAAAAUUUGGAAGAAAACCUGGAAAGGGUGCUAAGAAAGGACCACCAAAGAACAAUGGACCUGCUGAUGCUGCUCAAGCUCCUAAUAAGGGACUGAAGGACAAAUGUCAUUUCUGUAGAAAGGAAGGACAUUAUCAAUAUGAUUGCCCAAAACGUAAGGCAUGGUUCGAAAAGAAAGGGAUUCCUUACAACCUAAAGCCUAAAUCCAAAUGAAAAUUUUAUCUAUAUGGGAAAUCAGGUGAAAGCACCAGUUGAAGCCAUUGGAACUUUUCGUUUGAUUUUAGAUACCGGCCAUUAUUUGGAUUUGUUUCAAACUCUUUAUGUUCCGACUUGUUCUAGGAAUUUAAUUUCUGUUUCCAAACUUGAUCUUGAUGGUUUUACUUUCAAUAUUGGUAAUAAAAGUUUGAGUUUG